ensembl:lncRNA
GUCUACAAGUUCAGAAACAGGAAACAGUGCUUGUGCUGCUUGCCAGGGCAUACGAAUCGAGGUCGUUGUAACAUAGGAAAUCAACAUCAGAGGAUGAGCAGCAGUCUUCAAGAACAAAACAGUCCUUCGUGAGAAACAGUGACGUGAAGUUGUGUUUCUGUGAACACAAGCCCUUCUCAUCCCAAGUCUGAUGACUGGAGUGUUUUCUUUCCCCACCUCAACAACGUUAUGGUCAAAUGACAUCAUGAUAUUCAUUAUGGAAGCAUGUCUGUCACUAAUAACGUAUCAAGCAGAGGUCUUGAUAUGAUCUGCAGCUGAUCAGUUGAUUAGGUUUGACCUGCAGGAAAAGCCUGGCCACAGCCUGCCACAGGCUUGCCAAACAUGACGUACAGAAGCAUCCUUGUUGCAGCCCCAGUGGGAAUAUGCAGGCUUGAAAAACACACCUGAGUCCAUCCCUCUCCAUGGCAACAGAGUCAGAUAAUGACCAUCCAUCAGCAGGAAGAGGGUGAUCCCGUGACAGCAAGAGUUUUCGAGGGCAAUGCAUGAACAACACCCCUGCAACAUGUUUGUUUUGGCGGUAGACAUGGACGCACAGCCAGGCAAGCCUGCCAGAGGAGCUUUCAGAGGAAACCCAAGAUUCCUGCCUUGGAAGAAGGAACAAAGAUGUAAAUGUUCCCUGUUUCCUGGGAGGAGGAGGGCAAAUAGGCAUCUGCUGAGCUGGAGCCUCUCAUAUUUACCAGGUAUGGUUGAUACUUAUUGUCUGGAACCUCGUCAGAUACCAUGGCAGGAACUGUAAACAAUAAGCAUCCAAAAGGCUGAGGGGACCUAAAGCCAAGUUGGAGAUGCAACGUGAAUACUGGGCAGUUUCUCUACCACUAGCGCCACCUGGGUGAUACACUGCUGCUGCUGCUGCUGCUAAGUUGCUUCAGUCGUGUCCGACUCUGUGCCACCCCAUAGACGGCAGCCCACCAGGCUCCUCUGUCAG